GCUCGAAAAUGUUAAAGUUCUUAUUUCAUGGUAUAACUUUGGUAUGCUUGGACCUAGAGUCUUCAAACUUGACAUGAAGGUUGGCCAGGAUUAACAGAUGACCACUGGUCAUUUCAAGGUCAUUCAUUUGAAGGUCAAGGUCACUGUGACCUUCAAUAUAAAAAAUGUUAAAGUUGUUAUAACUUUGGUAUGCUUGGACCUAGAGUCUUGAAACUUGACAUGAAGGUUGGCCAUAACUAGUUAGUAACCACUGGUCAUUUCAAGGUCAUUCAUUUGAAGGUCAAGGUCACUGUGACCUUGAAUGUAAAAAUGUUAAAGUUCUUAUUUCAUGGUAUAACUUUGGUAUGCUUGGACCUAGAGUCUUCAAACUUGACAUGAAGGUUGGCCAGGAUUAACAGAUGACCACUGGUCAUUUCAAGGUCAUUCAUUUGAAGGUCAAGGUCACUGUGACCUUCAAUAUAAAAAUGUUAAAGUUGUUAUAACUUUGGUAUGCUUGGACCUAGAGUCUUGAAACUUGACAUGAAGGUUGGCCAGAACUAGUAAGUAACCACUGGACAUUUCAAGGUCAUUCAUUUGAAGGUCAAGGUCACUGUGACCUUGAAUGUAAAAAUGUUAAAGUUGUUAUAACUUUGGUAUGCUUGGACCUAGAGUCUUGAAACUUGACAUGAAGGUUGGCCAGAACUAGUAAGUAACCACUGGACAUUUCAAGGUCAUUCAUUUGAAGGUCAAGGUCACUGUGACCUUGAAUGUAAAAAUGUUAAAUUUCUUAUUUCAUGUUAUAACUUUGGUAUGCUUGUACCUAGAGUCUUGAAACUUGAAAUAAAGAUUGGCCAGUACUAGAAGAUGACCACUGGUCAUUUCAAUGUCAUUCAUUUGAAGGUCAAGGUCACUGUGACCUUAAAUGUUAAAAUGUUAAAAUUGUUAUAACUUUGGUAUGCUUGGACAUAGAGUCUUCAAACUUGACAUGAAGGUUUGCAAGCACACUUAGAUGACCACUGGUCAUUUCAAGGUCAUUCAUUCUAAGGUCAAGGUCACUGUGACCUUGAAUGUAAAAAUGUUAAAGUUCUUAUAACUUUGGUAGGUAAAAAUGUUAAAGUUCUUAUUCCAUGUUAUAACUUUGGUAUGCUUGUACCUAGAGUCUUCAAACUUGACAUAAAGGUUGGCCAGUACUAGAAGAUCACCACUGCUCAUUUCAAUGUCAUUCAUUUGAAGGUCAAGGUCACUGUGACCUUCAAUGUUAAAAUGUUAAAAUUGUUAUAACUUUGGUAUGCUUGGACCUAGAAUCUCAAACUUGACGUAAAGGUUUGCAAGCACACUUAGAUGACCACUGGUCAUUUCAAGGUCAUUCAUUUCAAUGUCAUUCAUUUGAAGGUCAAGGUCACUGUGAACUUAAAUGUUAAAAUGUUAAAAUUGUUGUAACUUUGGUAAGUUUAUUUUCUUACAUUUGAUAAUGAAAUUGAUGGAAACUUCAAACAAUAUGUUACUAAUUUGCUAAUAAAAAAAUUGAGAUCAAACUUU